UACGUAGGGGGCAAGCGUUGUCCGGAUUUAUUGGGCGUAAAGAGCUCGUAGGCGGUCUGUCGCGUCGGAUGUGAAAACCCAGGGCUCAACCCUGGGCCUGCAUUCGAUACGGGCAGACUAGAGUUCGGUAGGGGAGACUGGAAUUCCUGGUGUAGCGGUGAAAUGCGCAGAUAUCAGGAGGACACCGGUGGCGAAGGCGGGUCUCUGGGCCGAAACUGGCGCUGAGGAGCGAAAGCGUGGGGAGCAAACAGG
rnacentral:rRNA from 1 species